UCCUAUUCUCUCUAUCAAUUGGGAGAAGAGCAGCCUCAAUGAGCUGCUUGGCCAGCAUUGGAGUGGCCAAAGCCGACUCACCUAUCGGGAUACAGAUGUUGAAUAGAGUAGGAAGAUCGAUCGACAAUCCAUCCUUUAUAGAGACAGCUGGUGCCUUUUCUCGCUCUCUGAUCAGUGGUUGCUCGCUCAAAACCACCAUGAAGUACUAUGCCUGAGACUGCAUCGAUACA
rnacentral:lncRNA from 1 species